GUGCUCAACCUGGCAGCCGCUUGGCCCGCUUGUCGGGCUUUCCCAGCCACGGGGUCUCCCGAACCUCCUCUUCUCUCUGGGGCUCUGGGGCUUCUGCGGUCGCUGUGGGACUUUGUGGGGCUGCUGCCUCCGCCGUUGGUGGCCAGGAGACGCCCAAGUGUGAGGACCUCAGAGUGGGACAAUAUAUUUGUAAAGAACCAAAAAUGAACGAUGCUAAACAAGACUCAGUCAACUGUACAAACUAUACAGCUCGUGUUCAGUGUUUUCCAGCUUGUAAGGAUUUGAGUGGAAAUGAAACACAUUUUACUGGAAAUGAAGUUGGUUUUCUCAAGCCCGUAUCUUGCCAAAAUGUCAAUGGCUAUUUGGCUAUUUGUGCCGAGUGGCAGUUGCUUUACUCCUGGUUUGGGAUGGCUGGGAGAUUGAUUUUACCUUGGAGUUUCUACCUGAAGCUUAUUAGAGUUUUGCACCAUAAGAUUUUGUGGAAUUGGGAGCCUGAUUGAUGUCGUGUUUAUUUCAGUGCAGAUUGUUGGCCCUUCAGUAGUUACAUUAUAGACUAUUAUGAAACCAGACUUACAAGACUCAGCAUUACUAAUGAAACAUUUAGAAAAACACACUUGGAUCCA
rnacentral:lncRNA from 1 species